AUCCCUCCCCUCUAAUAAAAUACCUAGACCUAUAAGACCUAACACAUCUGAAAGAGCCCAUCCCUUUAGGAUAAGAUCAGAGAAAAAACCAGAUGAGAGAAACGAUGCAUUCCUCCUUAUUCAACACAAAAUAGCGAGGCUCCCCUUGAAAGAAACCAGAGAGAACGAGCAGCGCCUCCCCUUCCCCUUUCUGAUUUCAUCUUCUUCGCCAAUCACCAUGAAAGCUGGCCAAAACCAGCUCUGAAAACUCCAUCGCCGGCGAACUCGCCGAAAACGAGAGAGGAGCGGUCACCUAAAGUUGAAACUCGUUGUUGUUGCUGCUGCAAAGUAGCUGGCCUCCAUUUUCACGUUUUUUAAGCUCUAUUUGGGCGAAUUUUGUUGGUUUCGCCACUGUCAAUUGCUGCUGAGCUCCGUUGGAAUUUGUAGCUUCCUUCAUUUGGUUGAGUUCAUCCGUUUUUCUACUAUUUGACCUUAAUGUGAAUUGAAAUUGUAAAGGAGCAGUGGAGCCCUGCCCUAAAGAUUUCCAAGGUUCAGCUCUUAUUACAUUUAAGUUGUUUAUAUCUGAUGUACUAUUUAUACAAAUUUUGAUCAGUGUUUUAGUGCUUUUGUUUCCAUACGCUCAUGUUACUCCUGUACUUCAAUAGAUUGUUCUAAACUUCUAUGGGCCAAUAUUUUUAUCUUUAUUUUCCUUUUAUUUUGAGAUAAAUAUAAAGAUUGAGGUAGUAAUAUGUUUGUUAAAGAAAAACAGAUUUUUGCCAUAAAGUAACCUUUUAUUUUGCAGCCUUGUUUAAUGCCCACUAGAAAAAGCUUUCCUUUGAAUAUUGUUUAAUACCCAAAACCAUGAGAUUAGCUAUAUCUUUUAGAUCUCUACAUUGCAGUAGUUAAAAGUCAUUUGGCAGUUCCAUGUAAUGCCAUGGGUAGCACACAAUGCUGGAACUAAUCUAUAGGAAGUUUCUCAAUACCAAUCUAUGGGAUUUCUUUUCAAGUUCCAUAAUGGAGUUGGAGACAUAUAAUCAGCUAGAGUUGUUUAGGUUUUUGGAACCGUUGGCCUGGCUUUGCCCUUUAACCUUGCUAUUUGUAUACCAAUUCAAAUAUCUUUCUCACAUGCUUAAUUUAAUUCCUCUGCCUUCUAUCCUAGAUAAGAAGCAUAAACUUCAUUGAGAUUUACCCCUUUGUCCAUAAGGUGAUUUCCAUAACUCAUGGCCUUGCAUAAUCUCAAGUAAUUUAGUUAAUACGAACUUUCGUAGCUUGCUUUAGACGCGAUAAAUAAUAAAAUUAUCAUAGCUAUGGGUACGGUUCCCGUGACGUAGUUGUGGUACUUAAUUUCAAAUUAGUUUUAAAUAUGAAUACACAUAGUUCACUUAGUUGAAUGCCUUCUCCUUUGAUAAAAAUUGAGGUGUGCCACACAAUUAUCUAGUCGAUGGCCCUCACAUCGAUAUCUUAAUUAGUGAAGAAAAUGCCUUGAAAUCUCGUAGUUUGCUUUAGGCGCGUUAAUUAAAUAAAUGGCCAUAGCUACGGGUACGGUUCCCGUGAUGUAGUUGUGACGCUUAAUUUCUAAAAUUCGGGGUACAUUUAUUUGACCCGACCACAAUUUAAUCUUGUUAAUAAAUUAAACACGUUAUGGAUUGUGGGUACGGUUCCUGUGACAUGAUUCACAACGCGUAAUCAAAUAACUAAUGGUAUAACAAUUGGAUUUCUAAAAGCGGUUAUAAAGUUAAAAAUGCACAAUAGGUUUAAAACGUGUAGUAAAUCAGAUAAUAGACUAAUUAUUAAUAGUUUAAGCGAUCGUGCUAGAACCACGGAACUCGGGAGUGCCUAACACCUUCUUCCGGGUUAACAGAAGUAAAUUCUGCUUUCCGAGGCCUUAAAAACCUUUCUGUCUCACCUCGAUUUGCGUACGCAGUUCGAGCGCGCAGCCAAAAAGCCAAUAUGUGAAAAUCUGUGAAAAUGAUGAAUUUUGACUUUAAAAUGAAUUAAGUUGACUUCGGUCAACAUUUUGGGUAAACGGACCCGGACCCGUGAUUUGAUGGUCCCAGAGGGUCCGUACGAAAAUAUGGGACUUGGGCGUAUGCCCAGAAUCGAAUUCCGAAGUCCCAAGCCCGAGAAAUGAAUUUUUAAAGAAAAUUAUUUUUUGGAAUAUUUAUGAGUUUUUGAAAAUGAAAUGUAUUUAAAACUUGGUGGUAUCGGGCCCGUAUUUUGGUUUCGGCGCCCAGUACAGGUCUUAUAUGUGAAUUAAGAUAAGUCUGUGAAAUUUGGUUAGAAACGGACUUGAGACGACAUGAAUCGGAUCGUUUUUUAGGAAAUUGGCUAAUUUGAAGUUCUUAAGAAAUUUUAUGAUUUUGAUGCUAAAUUCAUAGUUGUUGAUGUUAUUUUAGUGAUUUGAAUGCACGAGCGAGUCCGUAUGAUGUUUUUAGGUUGGUGUGCAUGUUUGGUUUGGAGCCUCGAGGACUCGGGUGAGUUUUGGAUAGGCCACAGGAUGGAUUUUGGACUUGGAAAGUUGAAGACUUCAGCUGUUGUAUUGCAGGCCUGCAGGCUUUGCAUUUGCGAAGCCUGGCUCGCAAAUGCGAAGGAUUUGUCGCAAAUGCAAAACUAGCUCAGGCCAGCCUACCUCACAAAUGCGAGGGAUUUAUCGCAAAUGCGAUGUUUCCCCUUUUAGCCCAGUCGUCGCAAAUGCGACACAUUGUUCGCAAAAGCGACUUCGCAAAUGCGAAGGUCGCUUCGCAAAUGCGAGUUUAACAGAAUUCUGGGUUCGCAAUUGCAAACCCUGGUCGCAAUUGCAACAUCUGCGACCUGCAAUUUUAUAACUUAGCCGAAAUUCUUUCAUUUUUCACACUCUUUCNNNNNNNNNNNNNNNNNNNNNNNNNAUCGGGUUUUGACCACGUGGGCCCUGGGGCGAUUUUUCACUUUUUGGGUAAAACUUUGGAAAACUUAUUUUCAUGCAUUGGAAUUGAUUCGUUUAGCGUUUAUUGAUGUAAUUAAGUAACUUGUGACUAGAUACGAGCGAAUUGAUGGUGGAAUCAAGAGGUAAAGCGAUAGUAGAGACUUGAAUUGUGUUCGUGGCGUCGAUGUAAAUGUUUGGUCUAACCUUAGCUUGAGGGAUUAAGAGCCGAGUCCAAUUUGCUAUGUGGUAUUUGUUGAGUACGAUGUAUAGACAUGGUGACGAGUAUCUAUACAUUGGUGUCAAGCAUGUCCGUGAGGCUUAUAUUGUGAUUAUUAUGACUUCGUUGUAUUAUUCAUGCUUUGGUGAUGAUUUCUAUUGUUGGGCAAAGUUUGUGGAAGUAAUUGUAACAUUUGAACAUUGAGGAGCGUUGGCUCAAGUUGUAUAAUGAAAUGUGAAAGUAUAAGUGGUAAUGACACUUUUAGAGCAUUGACUCAAGUUUUGAAGUGAGUUGUGAAGUAAAAGUGAAAAAGAGAAGAGAAUCAUUGUAUUAUCUCCCUUGUUGGGAUAUUGUUGCUUUUAAAUGUUAUCUCCCUUGCCGGGAUUCUUAUCGUAAUUUCAUUUAUUCCCUUGCCCUCUUGUUUGUGAUUGUUUUUGGGUGAGGAAAAAUGUUAAAGCACGAAGGGUGAUGCCGUGUAUUAUUUUGGUGAGAGAGUGUUAAAGCACGAAGGGUGAUGCCGUGUAUGAUUUAUAAGGAAAGAGUGUAAAGCACGAAGGGUGAUGUUGUGCCGCACGAUGUACCAUUCCGUUCCAUUUAUAUUGAUUAUAUGGUGCGGACGAGAGUAAAAGCACGAAGAGUGAUGUCGUGCACUUAUUGAUUUCUGAUUUUUUGCUGAUAUCUGAGAUAUGUUGUUUCUCUCAAUUACCUGUUGUCUUUCUAUUCUAAAUUGAUAGUUCCCUCGUAGCAUGUUACCUCUCCCAUACUUGACUGUAUAUUACUGUUCUUUUUUUCCGUUGUAUAUAGUUGAAUUGCACAGGUUUAUUUGGUAGUCUGGUCCUAGCUUCGUCACUACUUCGCCGAGGUUUGGUAGGCACUUACCAGCACAUGAGGUUGGUUGUGCUGAUACUACACGUUGCACUAUGUGCAGAUCCCGAAGCAGCUUUUGGACCGUAGAUUGGUGGCUGCCUUCAGUCCACGCGGAGAUCCAAGGUAGUCCUGCAGGCGUCCGC
rnacentral:lncRNA from 1 species